UGUCCUACGGGACGCAGCAGUGAGGAAUAUUGGUCAAUGGGCUUACGCCUGAACCAGCCAAGUCGCGUGAGGGAAGACUGCCCUAUGGGUUGUAAACCUCUUUUGUCAGGGAGCAACGCCGGCUACGUGUAGCCGGACUGAGAGUACCCGAAGAAAAAGCAUCGGCUAACUCCGUGCCAGCAGCCGCGGUAAUACGGAGGAUGCGAGCGUUAUCCGGAUUUAUUGGGUUUAAAGGGUGCGCAGGCGGCGUGUCAAGCAAGCGGUAAAAUAGCGGGGCUCAACCCCGUCGAGCCGUUUGAACUGGG
rnacentral:rRNA from 1 species